rnacentral:rRNA from 1 species
AGUGAACGCUGGCGGUAGGCCUAACACAUGCAAGUCGAACGGCAGCACAGGAGAGCUUGCUCUCUGGGUGGCGAGUGGCGGACGGGUGAGGAAUACAUCGGAAUCUACUUUUUCGUGGGGGAUAACGUAGGGAAACUUACGCUAAUACCGCAUACGACCUACGGGUGAAAGCAGGGGACCUUCGGGCCUUGCGCGAUUGAAUGAGCCGGUGUCGGAUUAGCUAGUUGGCGGGUUAAAGGCCCACCAAGGCGACGAUCCGUAGCUGGUCUGAGAGGAUGAUCAGCCACACUGGAACUGGGACACAGUCCAGACUCCUACGGGAGGCAGCAGUGGGGAAUACUGGACAAUGGGCGCAAGCCUGAUCCAGCCAUACCGCGUGGGUGAAGAAGGCCUUCGGGUUGUAAAGCCCUUUUGUUGGGAAAGAAAUCCAGCUGGCUAAUACCCGGUUGGGAUGACGGUACCCAAAGAAUAAGCACCGGCUAACUUCGUGCCAGCCGCCGCCGUAA